ACGCUCGUCUCAAAGAUUAAGCCCACGCAUGUGUAAGUAUAAAUAAUUUUACUUUGAAACUGCGAAUGGCUCAUUAUAUCAGUUAUAGUUUAUUAGAAAUAUUUUACUACUUGGAUAACCGUAGUAAUUCUAGGGCUAAUACAUGAGUAAAACCUCAACUUCGGAAGAGGUGUGUUUAUUAGUAUGAAAACCAUAUAUCUUCGGAUAUAAUAGUGAGUAAUAAUAACCUUUCAUAUCGUAUGUCGUAAGAUAACGAUAGUUCUUUCAAGUUUCUGCCCUAUCAGCUUUCGAUGGUAGUAUAUGGGACUACCAUGGCAGUAACGGGUAACGAAGAAUUUGGGUUCGAUUUCGGAGAGGGAGCCUGAGAGAUGGCUACCACAUCCAAGGAAGGCAGCAGGCGCGUAAAUUACCCAAUCCUGACAUAGGGAGGUAGUGACAAUAAAUCACAAUGCGGAACUUUUAGUUUUGCAAUUGGAUUGAGAACAAUGUACAAAUGUUAUCGAUAAACAAUUGGAGGGCAAGUCUGGUGCCAGCAGCCGCGGUAAUUCCAGCUCCAAUAGCGUAUAUUAACGUUGUUGCAGUUA
rnacentral:rRNA from 1 species